UACAGAGGGUGCGAGCGUUAAUCGGAAUUACUGGGCGUAAAGCGCACGUAGUCGGCUUUGCAAGUCGGGUGUGAAAUCCCCGGGCUCAACCUGGGAACUGCAUCCGAGACUGCAUUGCUAGAGUAUGGGAGAGGGAAGCGGAAUUUCUGGUGUAGCAGUGAAGUGCGUAGAUAUCAGAAGGAACAUCAGUGGCGAAGGCGGCUUCCUGGACCAAUACUGACGAUCAGGUGCGAAAGCGUGGGGAGCAAACAGG
rnacentral:rRNA from 1 species